GCAGAGGCUCGUCCUGGCCCCUCCAUGCAGUUCCGGCGCGGAGCCCACCGACGCGCGGCAUCCUCCGCCAGCUGCCCACGCGGCGCCUGUUUUAGCAGAGACUACUAGGGGCCACCCUGAGACCGGUCCACGGGGUGUGUCAGGGGAGACCCUCACGCAAAGACGCCCCGCCCGCCACAGCCUCCCCAGAGCUCACUCGCGGGCGGGUCCCCACCGCGCCCUGGCGCUGACAGCCGGUGCGUAAAACCCUGAGGAGUGGAGGGCAGUGCGGCCGGCCGGCUCCCGCAGCAGCUAGCCGCGCCGCCACGCCUGCCCUGCAGCCCCAACGCCCCCGCUCGCACCUGGCGCUCUGGGUCUCCGCCCGCCCCCGCCCCGACAGCCACCGGCCCGCCCUCCGCACGCCCGCGGCCGUCACUUCACACGAACGCCGUGCACCCCAGCUCCGACGCCCCCCUCACAAGUUUGGACGUGGAGGAGGAUCUCGGACGGAGCGGCUCGGGGCGGGGAGCAGAGAAUACGAACCGGGCACAGCAGAGGACUAGCAGUUUUUUGCCGACGAGGAGGCGGCGACGGCACCACUCAGUGCUCUCUCACGCAGUCCCGCUCAGCUCCCUGGAGCGCGGCACCUCGCCCCGGGCUGGCCCACUCCGCGCCCCGGCCCUGCCCGGCCACCACCCCGCCCCGCCCGCACGUUCCGGCCAGAGCGCAUCCCGCCUCCCUAUUGGCUGCGCGGUGGAGAGUGGGCGGGGGAGGCGGAGAGCGGGCAGUGGCCGGGAGGGCGGGGGCGGAAGAGGAGCGCGUUCCCCGCUAGUUUUGUGACGUCACGGGGGUCAGACAAUCCCUUCCAUUCGGCGCGGGUCGCCCAUUGGUUGCCUGGGCCAGCUCACGUGAUCUCGCCCUAUAGCUGGUGGAAGGCGGGACUGAGUUGUGCUCCCGGCAGCUGUACGCUGGGCUGGGUGGAGGUGAUUGUUGGAGGCUGGCCCAGGAAGGAGUCGUCUUCUGGGCGGGCCCCAGCAUCAUUUGGGCGCGUGGGGCCCGGGGCACGGGCUGCUGUCCCGCCCGGAGGGCUUCCGCGAAUGCCAAGUACCCCGGCGGGGACCGCGUGGUGCAUAAGGCCGGCCUGAUCUCCAAGCCUCCCCUGCGCCUCGAAUCGCCGAUGCAAUCAUGGUGGAGGACCAAGCAGGAGGACUCUGAGGUCAGACUACUCCAUUUGAAUCCUUGUCCCACCUCUUCCUCCUCUUACAACUGUGUGGUCCCAGCCUUGUCUGGAAAAGUCGAAUUGGCGUAACCUGGAAGAACACUGCUUUGAGUUAUUAAUUCAUUGAAUCAAUAAUCACUGGACACCUGACCUGUGCCAGACAUUGCCCAGGACAGUAGAUAAAACAGGGUAAGACCCUGUUCUCAUGGAACGUGUUGCCUGGUGGAGAAAAUUAUUCAGAAUGAAUUCCUUUGGAGUCCCACAGUGACCUUGCCCUUUGUGGUAAGGGACGCCCUGAGGGUUGGCCCUGAGCACUGUGUUUAGUAGUUGCUGAGAUUAUCCAGGUUUGACGGCACAAGACUGCACUCCCAGCUACUCAGGAGGCUGGGCAGAAGGAAGACGAGUGCAAGCUUGAGGCUAGCCUUGGCAACUUUGCGAGACCCUGCCUCAAAAACGAAAAGGGACUGGGAUGUAACUCAGUGGUCGAAGCCCCCUGGAUUCAAUUCCCGGUACC